rnacentral:rRNA from 1 species
GACGAACGCUGGCGGCGUGCUUAACACAUGCAAGUCGAACGGAAAGGCCCUGCUUUUGUGGGGUGCUCGAGUGGCGAACGGGUGAGUAACACGUGAGUAACCUGCCCUUGACUUUGGGAUAACUUCAGGAAACUGGGGCUAAUACCGGAUAGGAGCUCCUGCUGCAUGGUGGGGGUUGGAAAGUUUCGGCGGUUGGGGAUGGACUCGCGGCUUAUCAGCUUGUUGGUGGGGUAGUGGCUUACCAAGGCUUUGACGGGUAGCCGGCCUGAGAGGGUGACCGGCCACAUUGGGACUGAGAUACGGCCCAGACUCCUACGGGAGGCAGCAGUGGGGAAUAUUGCACAAUGGGCGGAAGCCUGAUGCAGCAACGCCGCGUGCGGGAUGACGGCCUUCGGGUUGUAACCCGCUUUCGCCUGUGACGAAGCGUGAGUGACGGUAAUGGGUAAAGAAGCAACGGCUAACUACGUG